rnacentral:lncRNA from 1 species
CUGGAAACAAUAACAGAACAAAUUAUUACCUUACUAGUAGACAUAUGUGCAAAAGCCUUUGAAAGACCAGAAGAAAGCCAACUGCCUGGCAAUGUCGGAAAGUUUCAUGGGGGAGCUGGCAUUCUUAUUGGCCUAUUCAGUGGUGGAUGGAUGGAAACAGUUGCUGGCUGGAAGAAGUAUGAGUAUAAAUGAUCAACAAUUUGAAGAAGGACAAGCAUGGUCCUAUCAGCACCAACGUUAGAACUAAAAUAAAAUACAAAAUAAAAUGGAUCCUGUCUAUGGAGAGGCUGUGACACAGAGAGGUUAAGCACGUAGACUCUGGACCUAGACUUCCUGGGAUCAAAUCUCUACUCCACCGAGUAUUUCCUGUAUGAUGCAGGGAAUAUUUCUGUAUGAUGCAGGGAACCUUGUAUAAGUUACUUACCUUCCUGUAGCUCUGUUUUCUCGAUUGUAAAAGGCUGUGAUGAUGAUGAAAUAAACCAGUGCAUAUACAAAUACUGAGAACAGUGUGUGGCAAG